rnacentral:rRNA from 1 species
CAAUCAAACCGGGAGAUAGCUGGUUCUCCCCGAAAGCUAUUUAGGUAGCGCCUCGUGAAUUCAUCUCCGGGGGUAGAGCACUGUUUCGGCUAGGGGGCCAUCCCGGCUUACCAACCCGAUGCAAACUGCGAAUACCGGAGAAUGUUAUCACGGGAGACACACGGCGGGUGCUAACGUCCGUCGUGAAGAGGGAAACAACCCAGACCGCCAGCUAAGGUCCCAAAGUCAUGGUUAAGUGGGAAACGAUGUGGGAAGGCCCAGACAGCCAGGAUGUUGGCUUAGAAGCAGCCAUCAUUUAAAGAAAGCGUAAUAGCUCACUGGUCGAGUCGGCCUGCGCGGAAGAUGUAACGGGGCUAAACCAUGCACCGAAGCUGCGGCAGCGAACGUAUCACCCAAGACAACUUUACGGAGUUGACGAUUGACGGAGCGAAGCGACGUCAAAGCGUUCAUUAAAGUCGAGUUGGCUUAGGGAUACGUUCGUUGGGUAGGGGAGCGUUCUGUAAGCCUGUGAAGGUGUGUCGUGAGGCAUGCUGGAGGUAUCAGAAGUGCGAAUGCUGACAUAAGUAACGAUAAAGCGGGUGAAAAGCCCG